rnacentral:rRNA from 1 species
GACGAACGCUGGCGGCGUGCUUAACACAUGCAAGUCGAACGGAAAGGCCCUGCUUUUGUGGGGUGCUCGAGUGGCGAACGGGUGAGUAAAACGUGAGUAACCUGCCCUUGACUUUGGGAUAAAUUCUGGAAACUGGGGCUAAUACCGGAUAGGAGCUCCUGCUGCAUGGUGGGGGUUGGAAAGUUUCGGCGGUUGGGGAUGGACUCGCGGCUUAUCAGCUUGUUGGUGGGGUAGUGGAUUACCAAGGCUUCGACGGGUAGCCGGCCUGAGAGGUUGACCGGCGACAUGGGUCCUGCGGUAGGGCGCAGUCUCCUACGGGAGGCAACGGUGGGGAAUAUUACACAAUGAGCGGAAGCCUGAUGCGGCAACGCCGCGAUCGUAAUAACGGCCUUCGGGGGGUAAACCGCUUUCGCCUGUGACGAGGCGUGAGUGACGGUAAUGAGUAAAAAAGCACCGGCUAACUACGUG